rnacentral:lncRNA from 1 species
UACUGUUGGAUUCCUCGUGGCCACCAAAACUCUGCUAUCAAGAACCUGGAGGGGCGAAAAACAAAAUUGAGUGGGUCAGUAAAACCAAGCUUUUCAAAAACAUUUCGCCAAAAAUAAUUCUAACCCCUCACUGUAAAACCUGUAUACUUUUCCCAGAAAAUAGUAUAAUAACAUAAUACUUUUCAUAAAUCUCGAAUCAUCAAUUUUUCUUUAAAACCCGAAAGUAUGCCAUGUUUUAAUUUCGAAAACAAAAUAAAUGAUGCAUCAAUGUAACAGGUGAAAAGUUGAAUUAACCGGAGACCCUGCAGUUGGUCCUGUACGGUUAAUUCCAUAGCUCAACAUCCAAUCCAACCGGAGUCACCUCGAUGACCUGUACGGCACUACACUGCAGAUAAGUCGGAACUACCUGAAGUAGUCUGUACGACAUGGAUGGUGUAAUAAUACGCUCUAGUGCUUCUCUCAUCAAUCAUCUGUACACAUAAUCUAAGGUCACCCACUAGUCGGAAUCACAUCUAGUAAUCUAUACGACUAGCAUGUCGGAACCCUCACUUGGUCUGUACGACAUCCACCUACUUGGAUCCAAGACGAGCGUGCGGUGUGGUGAAUAAUAUAAGCACUAACACCAUGAUUGCAGGUUAUGAGCUAUCCACAAUAUACACAUCAACAAUGCACAUGAAUAAUAUAAAACUCACCUGAUACUUACCUGUGCGUCCACAGCACCAAUUCACAUAUAUGUAUGCAUCAUAUAUCAAUUCAUGCUUUUCAUAUACUUCUAUGCAUGGCAUUUCAAAUCAUGCUUUUCAUUUAAAUUCAAUUUCUGGGAAAACUCAAUAGUAUAUAGGUAAUACGAAAACAAAACUGCCCACUCACCUGGAGUUCGCCCUACAACUCCCUAGCACAACUCAUCAAGGCGUCAUGACGAUCGCCGCCUAGAACAAUAAUCAAAUCCAACCUCAAAAAUCAUAUCGAUAGAAUAUAACUUAUAUAAAAUACGUCACUACGUAGAUUGAUCCGAAAGAUCUGCAACUCAGAUUUUAAAUCCAUAACUUCCAGAGUCCACAAUAUAUCUCUAGGACAACAUCCUGAAAUUUCAUUACCAUCCAACGGUCGGAUCUCCGUCAAUUUCCAAAACUAAGUGACGGUUAACAUUUUAUUUUAUGAACUUACAACUCCAAUUCCGGAAGAUCCGUAACUCGGAUUCCCAAUCCGUAAGUUCCAAUAAUCCUCAAAUAUUACGUAUUACAACGUAUCAAAGUUUGGUGACGAUCCAACGGUCGGAUCGUCAAUUCACAUUUUCACCUAAAUGCGAAAACUAUAAAACGUUAUUUAAAGCACCUAACCAAUAAUUGUAAUAACUUUCUCAUACGGUGCUCAAUUUGGGUAUAUGAAUAUACCACAUUGACCUACUCGACGUCACGGACGUCGACAAAUUUUUAAAAUAAUUUUUUUACUGUGGCACGCGCCCCCACGCGCCAAGGAAGGCACGGGUCCACGCGCGCCCACGCGCACCUUCUUCCUCGCGAGUUCGCCGGACUGGUUUUUCUCCGGUGGCCGGAUUCUGGGCAUUUUUCAAAUGCCUUGUUCUCCUUCGUUUCUCAACCAUUUUCUUCGUAUAAUAUAUCAAUUUAAAGCCCUCAACAUGUAGAAUCACAAUAUACUACUUUUAAGCUUCAAAAACAACUAAAUCUCACCGGAAAAAUCCAAGCAAAACCGGCCAAACUUAACCCUCGUGAUCCCGACGUCCAAAUCCUUCCAACGAAGCACUCCAAGCUUCCUUGGGACCUCACUAAGCUCACUAUGAGCUUGGAUUGUCCU